rnacentral:rRNA from 1 species
ACGCGUAUCCAACCUUCCCAUUACUGUGGGAUAACCUGCCGAAAGGCAGACUAAUACCGCAUAGUCUUCGAUGACGGCAUCAGAUUUGAAGUAAAGAUUUAUCGGUAAUGGAUGGGGAUGCGUCUGAUUAGCUUGUUGGCGGGGUAACGGCCCACCAAGGCAACGAUCAGUAGGGGUUCUGAGAGGAAGGUCCCCCACAUUGGAACUGAGACACGGUCCAAACUCCUACGGGAGGCAGCAGUGAGGAAUAUUGGUCAAUGGACGGAAGUCUGAACCAGCCAAGUAGCGUGCAGGAUGACGGCCCUAUGGGUUGUAAACUGCUUUUGUAUGGGGAUAAAGUUAGGGACGUGUCCCUAUUUGCAGGUACCAUACGAAUAAGGACCGGCUAAUUCCGUGCCAGCAGCCGCGGUAAUACGGAAGGUCCAGGCGUUAUCCGGAUUUAUUGGGUUUAAAGGGAGCGUAGGCUGGAGAUUAAGUGUGUUGUGAAAUGUAGACGCUCAACGUCUGAAUUGCAGCGCAUACUGGUUUCCUUGAGUACGCACAACGUUGGCGGAAUUCGUCGUGUAGCGGUGAAAUGCUUAGAUAUGACGAAGAACUCCGAUUGCGAAGGCAGCUGACGGGAGCGCAACUGACGCUUAAGCUCGAAGGUGCGGGUAUCAAACAGGAUUAGAUACCCUGGUAGUCCGCACAGUAAACGAUGGAUGCCCGCUGUUGGUACCUGGUAUCAGCGGCUAAGCGAAAGCAUUAAGCAUCCCACCUGGGGAGUACGCCGGCAACGGUGAAACUCAAAGGAAUUGACGGG